CGCUGUCUAUUGCUCAUUCCCCACCACCAACAUCAUCCUCCCUUUCUCUUCCUCCAACUUCUCCACCCCAAGCUCAGCCCGGCACCGACUCCGAACCUUCCAACCCCUCCCAAUCUUCAUCACCACCUCCCGCUUCCAAUGCACCUUCCAACCCCUCCCAAUCUUCAUCACCACCUCCCGCUUCCAAUGCACCUUCCAACCCCUCCCAAUCUUCAUCACCACCUCCCGCUUCCAAUGCACCUCCCCCUUCGUCUCCUCAGCC
rnacentral:lncRNA from 1 species